rnacentral:rRNA from 1 species
AUUGAACGCUGGCGGCAGGCCUAACACAUGCAAGUCGAGCGGAUGAAGGGAGCUUGCUCCUGGAUUCAGCGGCGGACGGGUGAGUAAUGCCUAGGAAUCUGCCUGGUAGUGGGGGAUAACGUCCGGAAACGGGCGCUAAUACCGCAUACGUCCUGAGGGAGAAAGUGGGGGAUCUUCGGACCUCACGCUAUCAGAUGAGCCUAGGUCGGAUUAGCUAGUUGGUGGGGUAAAGGCCUACCAAGGCGACGAUCCGUAACUGGUCUGAGAGGAUGAUCAGUCACACUGGAACUGAGACACGGUCCAGACUCCUACGGGAGGCAGCAGUGGGGAAUCUUGGACAAUGGGCGAAAGCCUGAUCCAGCCAUGCCGCGUGUGUGAAGAAGGUCUUCGGAUUGUAAAGCACUUUAAGUUGGGAGGAAGGGCAGUGAGUUAAUACCUUGCUGUUUUGACGUUACCAACAGAAUAAGCACCGGCUAACUUCGUG